GACGAACGCUGGCGGCGUGCCUAAUACAUGCAAGUCGAGCGGACGGAUCGAAAGCUUGCUUUUGAUUCGUUAGCGGCGGACGGGUGAGUAACACGUGGGCAACCUGCCCUGUAGACGGGGAUAACACCGAGAAAUCGGUGCUAAUACCGGAUAACACGAAAUGUCGCAUGACGUUUCGUUGAAAGACGGCGCAAGCUGUCGCUACAGGAUGGGCCCGCGGCGCAUUAGCUAGUUGGUGAGGUAACGGCUCACCGAGGCGACGAUGCGUAGCCGACCUGAGAGGGUGAUCGGCCACACUGGGACUGAGACACGGCCCAGACUCCUACGGGAGGCAGCAGUAGGGAAUCUUCCGCAAUGGACGAAAGUCUGACGGAGCAACGCCGCGUGAGCGAAGAAGGCCUUCGGGUCGUAAAGCUCUGUUGUUAGGGAAGAACAAGUAACGCAGUAACUGGCGUUACCGUGACGGUACCUAACGAGAAAGCCACGGCUAACUACGUGCCAGCAGCCGCCGUAAAAC
rnacentral:rRNA from 1 species